GGAGAUGACCUGAUUGUGACAUCUAUCAUCUCAUUGAUCAUCAGGGUUGAUUGGGCUGAUCCGGCUGAGAAGAUGAGUAUCUGCUUUGUACCACUCCAUGUAUUUACCUCCUGAACCUGGAUGCUUGGUGAAAGAGGACAGCCAUCCCAAAUAGAAAUAUUCUUUGAAGAGUAUAUGAUAGCUUUACCUCCCUACUAGAAUUCUCAAGUAAACAAGAUCUCCAAGUAAACAUGCUGGAGCCCUUUUGGUCAUAACUGAUAACAGUGGUGGUUUGGCCUUUUUG
rnacentral:snRNA from 1 species